ensembl:misc_RNA 7SK 7SK RNA
AGAUGUGAGGGUGAUCUGGCUGUGACAUCUGUCACCCCAUUGGUCGCCAGGGUUGAUCUGAUCUGGCUGGCUAGGCCGAUGUCCCCUUCCUCCCUCACUGUUCCAUGUACAUCCAUCCCUAAGCUUCAUGCUCGGUUGAAGAUGAUGGCCUUCCCCAAAUAAAGACAGACCAGGGGGUAUACAAGUAGCUGCGCUCCCCUGCUAGGACCUCCAAACAAGCUCUCAAGGUCCAUUUGAAAUUCUAAACUCCUGUGACAGGAAAUGAGUUAUCACAGUGAAUCCCCAGUGACACCAGAACAGUUUUCUGAAUUC